UACGAAGGGGGCUAGCGUUGCUCGGAAUCACUGGGCGUAAAGGGUGCGUAGGCGGGUUUUUAAGUCAGGGGUGAAAUCCUGGAGCUCAACUCCAGAACUGCCUUUGAUACUGAAAAUCUUGAGUCCGGGAGAGGUGAGUGGAACUGCGAGUGUAGAGGUGAAAUUCGUAGAUAUUGGGAGGAACACCAGUGGCGAAGGCGGCUCGCUGGACCGGUUCUGACGCUGAGGCGCGAAAGCGUGGGGAGCAAACAGG
rnacentral:rRNA from 1 species